rnacentral:rRNA from 1 species
GGUUAAGCGACUAAGCGUACACGGUGGAUGCCCUGGCAGUCAGAGGCGAUGAAGGACGUGCUAAUCUGCGAUAAGCGUCGGUGAGGUGAUAUGAACCGUUAUAACCGGCGAUUUCCGAAUGGGGAAACCCAGUGUGAUUCGUCACACUAUCAUUAACUGAAUCCAUAGGUUAAUGAGGCGAACCGGGGGAACUGAAACAUCUAAGUACCCCGAGGAAAAGAAAUCAACCGAGAUUCCCCCAGUAGCGGCGAGCGAACGGGGAGGAGCCCAGAGCCUGAAUCAGUGUGUGUGUUAGUGGAAGCGUCUGGAAAGGCGCGCGAUACAGGGUGACAGCCCCGUACACAAAAAUGCACAUAUUGUGAGCUCGAUGAGUAGGGCGGGACACGUGGUAUCCUGUCUGAAUAUGGGGGGACCAUCCUCCAAGGCUAAAUACUCCUGACUGACCGAUAGUGAACCAGUACCGUGAGGGAAAGGCGAAAAGAACCCCGGCGAGGGGAGUGAAAAAGAACCUGAAACCGUGUACGUACAAGCAGUGGGAGCCUCUUCAUGGGGUGACUGCGUACCUUUUGUAUAAUGGGUCAGCGACUUAUAUUCUGUAGCAAGGUUAACCGAAUAGGGGAGCCGAAGGGAAACCGAGUCUUAACUGGGCGUUAAGUUGCAGGGUAUAGACCCGAAACCCGGUGAUCUAGCCAUGGGCAGGUUGAAGGUUGGGUAACACUAACUGGAGGACCGAACCGACUAAUGUUGAAAAAUUAGCGGAUGACUUGUGGCUGGGGGUGAAAGGCCAAUCAAACCGGGAGAUAGCUGGUUCUCCCCGAAAGCUAUUUAGGUAGCGCCUCGUGAAUUCAUCUCCGGGGGUAGAGCACUGUUUCGGCAAGGGGGUCAUCCCGACUUACCAACCCGAUGCAAACUGCGAAUACCGGAGAAUGUUAUCACGGGAGACACACGGCGGGUGCUAACGUCCGUCGUGAAGAGGGAAACAACCCAGACCGCCAGCUAAGGUCCCAAAGUCAUGGUUAAGUGGGAAACGAUGUGGGAAGGCCCAGACAGCCAGGAUGUUGGCUUAGAAGCAGCCAUCAUUUAAAGAAAGCGUAAUAGCUCACUGGUCGAGUCGGCCUGCGCGGAAGAUGUAACGGGGCUAAACCAUGCACCGAAGCUGCGGCAGCGACACUAUGUGUUGUUGGGUAGGGGAGCG